CAAUUUUAAAGAACUCUCUCUCUCUCUGCAUGCUGUUGAUUGGGUCUUUUCCAACUUUGAAGCUCAGUUUCUUCGCUCAGACUGGAAUUGUCCUGUAUGUCUAGGGGAGAUUUACUGUCCUCCGCACUCUACUUAGGAUUUUAUACAGCAUUUCACUGAACUGAUUGGCAGUGUUGGCACAAAUUAUGAUUGCUUUCUAUUGGUGGGCGACUUUAAUAUCCAUGUCUGCUGUCCAUCUAACUCCUUAUCACAUGACUUUCUUAAUCUUAUCAAUGCUUUUAAUCUAUCCUAGUGGAUCAAUGUCUCUACUCAUAUUCAGGGACAUUCGUUGGAUCUUAUACCCUUAUAUUUCAAUACACGGACUGGAGUAUGUUUGCUUCUCAGGCACUCACACAGACAUUGAUAUCUAUACCUCCUUUGUACUGGAUUACAUCAACACCACCAUUGACAGUGUUACAACAGAAAAACAGAUCACAACGUACCCUAAUCAGAAGCCAUGGAUGAACAAGGAGGUGCGACUUCUGCUGAAAGCCCACAACACUGCCUUCAGGUCAGAUGACACUCAAGCCUACAGCAAAUCCAGGGUUAACCUGAAAAGGAGCAUCAAAAAGGCCAAGUACUGCUACAAGCUGAAGGAAGAGGAACACUUUUUCCAACCCCGCAUGUGGCAGGGCAUCCAGGUCAUCAGCGACUACAAGUCAAGCAACUCCGCUCCAACAGUCACAGACGUCUCCACCCUUAACAAGCUAAAUGACUUUUAUGCUCGCUUCAACAGCGACAGCAAGGAGACGGCCACCAAAAUCACACACUCAGCAAAUCACCAACCCCUCAAACUCACCUCCACAGAUGUCCACACUGCAUUGAGCCGGAUCAACCCACGCAAGGCUGCUGGCCCGGACGGCAUUCCUGGUUGUGUGCUUAGGGCAUGUGCUGAGCAGCUUGCAGGGGUCUUCACAGACAUUUUCAACCUGUCCCUCACCCAAGCAACUGUGCCAACAUGUUUUAAGUCCACAUCCAUUGUGCCAAUACCGAAACAAUCCUCCCCAAUGUGCCUAAAUGACUACCGCCCCGUAGCACUCACACCCAUCAUUAUCAAGUGCUUCGAGUGACUGGUUCAAGCAUACCUCAAAGACCCACCCACCCACACUGGACCCACACCAAUUUGCCUACCGUAAAAAUAGGAGCACAGAGGAUGCAGUAUGCACAGUGCUGCACUCUGCACUCACACACUUGGACAAUAACAACAUAUCUACGGAUGUUGUUUGUUAACUUCAGCUCAGCAUUUAACACCGUCAUUCCCUCCAAGCUGACCACAAAACUUGGAGACCUGGACAUUAAC
ensembl:lncRNA